rnacentral:lncRNA from 1 species
GCUGGCGGCCCCGGCGGCGGCGGCAGGUGUGGAUGGGGCGAAGGUGCGGGAACGUCCACUCCCGCGCGCCCCUCUCGGGGACCAGGGCGGCCUCCCAGGAGGAGCUUGGUGAGCAGCUGCGACCUGUGCAUAACUUGGGGCGCCGCCAGGGGCUCGCAGGUUCCACGUCCGGCGCCUGGAGAAGGAAGACGCGCGUCCCCGGCCGCGGCGCCGAAGCCGGCUGGGGGACCGCCUGGUCCCGGGCCAGAGCUGGGAGGCGGUGUUCCGUGAGCCGCCUGGUCUGGGGUGCGGGGGGCGGGAAGCGGCCCCUUCGUGUGCGCUUGGGCGAGGCCGGGCGGCGCUUCUGUCCUCCUACUCGGACCCGCAGGUUUCUGGUCCUCAUACCGUGUGGUUGAGUGAAAUCAAAACUUCCACGAUAGCAAUGCUGAUUGGACAAAGAAUGUGUUGUGGACACAAAACCAAACUCUGGAGGACAGAGGAUUCAUUCCAAGGGUCUGCUUGUAUUCAAUGACUGGUCUACGUGGGGGUGUGAAGUCCCCUUACUCCACCUGUGAAGAGUCUUCCCAGUUUCAGACCACCCUCCCAGCCUCCUGUUAUUGGCUAAGGCCAUUUUGUGACUACACUGCAGGUAGAGAUGGAUUCCUGGAAAUACCUCCUCAAGGCCAGUGUAGAGCCCUCAAUCACCCACUGCCCCCAGCUUCUCCUUCUCCCAUCUCCUGCACCAAGCAGGUCUCCAGGUGUUCCAGCUGCUGAUGACGUAAAGUGUGGAGUUGGUCCAGGAAGGUCAUGUUCCAUGCAGCAGAGGAGCGCUUUGUGUGAGAAGUUGAAGACCUGCUGUAACACAUCAUAGAGGAAAGACAUAGCCUGGGCCUUCUGCAACUGGCUGACUUCCACCUUCUCCUGGGGGAAUCUGAAGUCACUUCUGUCCUUUAGACACAAGAAGGGAGAGAUUCUCCUCAUUUGGCCCAAAAGCACCAAGGUGUUCCUGCCUAGCAGGCCAUGGUUCUGAGGCAGGUUAUAUCCUAGAGAUCCAGAAGAGCCACAGCUGCACACCUCUAGGGCUGCCAGUAGAGGGAAGAGGAGGGCCAUUGAGAAAUCAGGAUGCUUUUGGCCUGGUUGAGCUGAGGUCUUCAUAGAACCUUGGAUCCUAGGUUCUAUGAAGACAUUCUAUCUAUGCAUGGCUUUAAUGGAGCACAAAUAGUUUUCAUUUUUCUGAGCAUUUCUCUAAAUUUUUAAUUCCAUUUAUUGUUUUCAUUUACAUGUCUUCUAUAUCAGCAUCCACAACCUUUUGGCCACCAGUUUGGUGGAAGAUAAUUUUUCCACGAAAAAUGGGGUCAGGGAGGGAAUGCUUUCAGAGGCAUUAGAUUCUCAUUAGGAGACCACAACCUAGAUCCUUCGCAUCUGCACUUCACAAUAGGGUUCCUGCUCUUUUGAGAAUCCAAUGCCACUGCUGAUCUGACAGGAGGCAGAGCUCAGGCGUUAAUGCUUGUUGGUUGGCCUGCUUGCCUCCUGCUGUGCGGCCCUGUUCCUACCAGGCCAGGACCAGUACCCCGGUCCAUGGAUGGGGGUUGAAAAACCUUGUUCUAUAUGACCUAAAAGGAGGUCAUCACUCUACACUCUUGAUUUUUGCAAUGGAUGUUCAAUAUUCCCAGUAAACUUAAGAUAUAUCAAUCCAAAUGAAUAUUGAUCAAUCAGAUGAGAAACAUCUUUGUGCUACUGUUAGAAGUAUAUACUUUUAGCCCAGAUCCUAGCCUCCAGUUUUACCCUCCAUUUUGCAUAGGAAAUCAGGAUCCCUGGGCCCUAUGGGUUUCUGUAUUCAGUUAGGAAAUUACCUAUCUCUGGAAAUUAAACUUUUUAGGACUAUCUUUGUUUGAUAUUUGAUUCACAGAAGACGUUGAUGGUUAUUAGUGAAAGAACUUCUCUGGUGCUUCCCUCCUUCUAGAAUAUAUUCAUUCAGGUUCAUGUGGUUAUGCUUCCCUGGGGGCUCAAGCUUAGAUCAAUGAACAUUGCCUUUUUUGCAUUAUUUUCUUACUGGAGAAAUAUAGCACUCCUCAGGCUGCGCCAAUACCCCUAAAAGAAAUUCUGUUGGUUUGUUUUUUUUUCUUUUUUAAGAUGCAUAUGGGUGUGGAAAUUUUAAUCUUAAAAUAAUGUUAUUUCCUCAGCAGUGAUGAUUCACAAGGUAUUUAUCACAUCAAGUCACUCCCUAAAUGCAGGCUCACCACAUCCUGAUGACUUUAGAACUCCUUUUCCAGGGAGGUUCUUGCUUCUUUGUUGCCAAAACAAUAAAUCCUUUGUGACCUUUGUCCUUGCUCCUAGAAUAUUUGGGUGAAGGAGUAUAUGCUGUCAGUGGUGACCUCCUCUUCUUCUGACCCAUGCCCUAGGUAUCAAAGUCUCAACAGCCCUAGAACGCUGAUAACAAAGGACUCACAGGUCAGCCUGCUGCUCUUAUUGCCAAGGAGAAGGAUAUUUCUAUCCCCAGCCCAUUCAGGACUUAAUCUUGUGUACUGAUUGUGUCCAGUGAAGAAUCUCUUCCCCUCUUUCUCUUUCGGUCCAUUGGUUGAGUUGUGAGUGCUGAAAAGAUCAUUCAUAUGACCAAGAUUGUGAUGCUUAGAUGUUUAUCCCCAGCAAACAUGUAAACUAUAGAAAUCUCAGUUGUCUCCACCAAACAUCUAAACUGUAUAGCAUCUAAGCAGCCUGAGGCUUUCACCAGAUGCCCAGUCUUCCAGCCAGCAGCAUUGUGAGCCAAAUAAACAUUUUUUUCUUUAUAAAUUACUCAGCCUCAGGUACUCCUUGUUAGUGAAAAGGAACCCAGGUUCAGCUGCUCAUCUCUCGAAAACCAAACUCAAGAGAAGAGAGAUGUUGAGGGGGAAGCAGAUUCAUUAGGAAAGCCUGCAAACUGAGAAGACGGUAGACUAGUAUCUUCAAAUACCAUCUUAAGGCAGUACAAAUUUCAGGCUCUUUUUAUGUUAAGGGCAGGCAGAAGAGGAGGGGGGUCAGGAUAAAUAGGUGACCAUCAAUAGCAGACAACUGGGCACCAGCACAGGACCAAGGAAUUUGAAAAAUUCUUUGUUCUUUGUCAGGUCACAAUGCUCCUAUGAAUCUUUAAGGUAACCUAGUUAGUUGUUUACAUUCUUCUCCUUUAAUCCCAGAGUUAGUUUUAAAAAUUACAUGAUUGCUGUUUUUGCACAUUAUCUCUGCUCUAAAAUCAUCCCAACCUACGUGCAAGAAUGGGUGUAGGCCCCGUAAACAAAAUGGAGUUAGUUAUGUUAGGUAUUUUGCUGUCUCACUGCUACAAUUGCAACACAAAAUGAAUGCUUUUAAAGGGCUGCUUGCCAAGGAAGAUCUGGCUUUAACUACAGAUUCAGCCACAUUGCUUAGUAUGGUUGUCUUUGGCUGUCUAUGGUUGGCAUUACAAUAGAUGAUAUUUUCCAGUCAUAGUAAUAGAAGGUUUUAUCAAAAAAUAAAUGUUUACAAAGUGAAAAUUGUAAGGAACACCUCUUACAACCAAGCAGUUCCAAAACAAACAGAAACAAAUAUGGUGGGCGCACUGAGCACUUUCAUGCAUUGUUGUGCAUCUAUAUAAGUGUCAUAUGCUUUAUGAAUUUUUGUUUUGCAAUCAUUUGUACUCCUUCAUUCAUUUAUUCAUUUUCCAAUCCACUUAUUCCGUUUCAGGGUCAAGGGUGGCAGGAACCUAUCCUCACAGAUCAGGGUGUAAGGUGGAAAACCCCACUGCACAGGAAGCUAUUUAAUCACAGGGCACAUUCAAACACACACACACACUCACUCACUGAGACUGGAGAAAUUUAGACAAACCAAUUAACUUAACAUGCACAUAUUUGGGAUGCAGGAGGAAACUGAAGUACCUGGAGAAAACUCAUGCAGGCAUGGGGAGAACUCCACACAGACAAGGCCCUGGUGGGCACUCAGUUUCUUCUCUCAUCAGUGUUACAAGGAAAUGACAUAGAAUGAAAUGUCAUUAUUGGGAGGUCUUCCUGUGACCCUUCUGUUCAAGAAUUGUCUUCGUAUUGUUGGUCUUUAAAGGAGGCUGCAUCGUGAGCAGAAUUUAAGAGAUCCCUUGUACUGCAUUGUCCCCAUGAAUAAUUUUCCCUGCACUGUGAUGACUUGCUGGGUUCUAGGGAGAAAUCAAAAGUUUGCAUCUGGGAACGGACUAACCCCCAUCCUUCCCAAUAUUCUGCAGGCUGCUGUGGUGUCAGUGUUACCGAUGCCAUGGACACUGAUGUUGGCCACAGCUCAACAGAACUCUGUGUUCUCAGAAUCCACUUCAUCUUCUCUCCUUCUGAUAAGAAUGAUCUGAACAGUUGACUUAAUGGUGCUCGUUGGUAUUAUUCCAUCUGCUGAGUACCUGACACUGAUGUCUAUGCUUUAAACAUCUCUGUCCUCCUUCCACGUUCUCAGGCUGCUGCUGGCUUUUCCAGCUUAUUCCAGUGCAUGAUGUGUGCUUUCAUUGUUUGAACAAAUGAGAGUCCUGUGCCUGGUGCAGUCUCUUCCUGAAGGAGUCAGAACGUGGAAGCUUCUAAACAGAGUCACAGAUGAGCUCCUGCAUUCUUUAUCAGCUCAAUGGACAUAGAGGUAUAGGCAGGACUCCCUUCAUUUACUGCAUUUUGAUGCCAGACUGGACAUCAGUGGGUCUACACCCCUACAGCUCAUGACUCACCCGGCAGGAAGGGUGGAAGUAAGGCCACACGCACACUCCUGCUUCUGAGGCUUGAAAAACAGGACUAUCUCCAGAGGGUGCUGCAUGGUGAUACCUCGCCAUGUCUCUCUGGGCACCAGGCACUGAUCCCUGCCUCCCCACACCUUUUCUCAGGUGGACUAGAUGUUCCUGGGUGGAGGUGGGCCUGGGAGCAGUAAAACCUGUCUCCUCAGUGGGACGAGGGCAGGGCCAGCGGCCCAGCACUCAGUGCCCCCACCACUCCCCCUGCCUAGGUGCCUCCAAACCUGCUACUGGGUUCCCCAAUACUGUAGAUUAUAUAUAACAAGUUGAAAACUGUGAGAUAUGAAAUGAGAUAUGGCUAUAGAGAUUUUUCAGGGGAGGGUGACAAUAUGAAGCCAAAUCAGAACUUUUACAUAUAAAUAUGGUAAAAAGUAUAAUAUAAAUGUAAGGAAAAAAUUACAUUAAAAUGUAAGCAGUUACCCAAGAAUGGAAGGGGUUCUAAUAUUUGAAAGGCUAAUUAGGCAAUCACAAAAGACAGAACCAAGUGAAUUAAAAAAUGUUGAUGUUGUCCUGACGCUAAACUGGUUCCCUACAAUUGGUGGAGGAGGAAAGGAAAAAUGGUUUAACAUGUAAAUUAGGGCCCUCUAACCCACGAAUAGAAGAGAAACAAUCUAAUGGUUGGGUUUCUAACCUGAGUCAGAGUUGAGAGAUCCCUGCUAAAUUGAAUGCCUGCCUGGCUGCCUGAGCAACUGACCAUGAUUACUUCUUUAAUUGCAAUAUUGCCAAGAUGCCUCUCAAUUCUACCCUGUUGACACCUGUGGCAGUCACUAUAUUCUCUGAAGUUACUUUAUGUUAGUGCUCUCUAAAACUAUUGAAUCCAGAUGGAACUGAUGCAAGCUCAUUCCUUAUUCAAAGGGAAAGUAAGAAUUUUCUCAAUUAUAAAGUCGAGGGGCAUGAUCUGAUAGGAGGAGUAAAUUAGUAAAACUGACAACUUACGCUAAAGAGUUAAUGUACCUUCAAUCAGGACAGUUUUCCUGAUUUCCCUUGAAGUGCCACAGUCAGAUGGGGUGGCUCUCACUUCCACGUGACCUGCAGUAAGUAGAGUGAGGGACGAGUCAGGAGGUCCUGGGAGGCUGCAUAGGCUGGAGGCAAGGGACACCUCCUGCCCCUUUCUCUCCCCAGAGCUGCCCAUUGUCCAAAGAGGACAUGUCCUGCCUGAAGCUGGGAGUAUAUCCCCUCUCUAAGACAUGAAAUUUAAAGAAAUGGGCUCAUUCCAGUGUUUGGGUCAGUUCUUUCCAGGAAAUUUCCUCCUUUUAGCUCUGAAGAAAAAGCUGGUGGAAGGCGACAGACUUAUACAGAGAACAGACUUGCCCACUGUCUCUGGUCUUGGCAGGUAGGUGGCUCUCUCACAGUGUGAAGUUACCCUUGAUACCCCAAAAGCCAAAGAGAUCAGGGAACUCAAGGCAAGGGAGAGCAGAGCUCCAGAUGCAAGAAGGACCCACCCAUGACUCUUGGGGUUCCUGAGGAAGACAGAGGACUCCAUGUAGUGGGGGGGUCUGUGGCACCUUUUUUUUUUUUCAUUCUUCAAGGAAUCCCAGGCUUUCUAGAAGUCUUCUCUACAUCCCUUUAUGUGGUAGCCAGAACUCUGAUGUUUCUGCUUAGUAAUUUUCCAACCACUGACCACUAAAUGCAGAGGCAGGGGCUUGUCGAUGAUAAGAGAGACCUAGAUGGAAGAUUGAAGGUGGCAGAAGGAAGGAGGGACAGAAGUAAAUGGAAGAAAAAGUCUUAGAGGAGCCAGACUGGGUAGGUCUUAAGCUUCCCAAAAAGGCCAAUGAAGUUUUACUCUUUUUUUUUUUUUUUUUUUUAACCGGUAAAAAUCCUGCCUACAAGAAAGGAAGCAAACAGAGGAAUCAAGUUUAUAAUAAAAAAAGUUUAAGUUUACUGAAAAAAAUUCCCAUGGGAUAAACAAGAACCUAAGGAGAAAAUCAGAAAGACUCUUAAAAAAAUGGUAGCCUGGAUAUCAGCUUUAAAUUAAGCUAUUAUUUGACCACAGAGCUCUUUUAAAAAAAUACUUUUAAAUCCCUUAUCAGAUUUCAGCAAGAAAAAACAACCAAUAUUUCUAAUGUUUGAAACUUUCUUUUUUUUCUCUUCUUUUAAAACAACGAUACCUACCAAGCGACUCAGAACCAAAACCAAGUCUUUUGUGACUUAACCAAGGAUACAUGAGACAUCAUUAAAGAAAUGUAAAGAUGCAGCCCUCUCAAAAUUCAGAGCUACCCCCACAAAUAGCCAAAAGAAAGAAAGAUUUAGAUGCCUUGAGAGCUGGCAAUAGGCAAUAUGUAAGCUUUUAAUGGGAGCCUCCAACAUUUGUUUAGCCCCCUUCACACACCAAAGUGUGUCCUGACAGGCAGCAAGCCAAGUUGGGUUCUCAGGACACAAAACAGGAAAAUGACAGCUGUUCGUUGAAGGGAAAGGAUCAAUAACAAAUGAGUCCCUGAAAUCCAAAUUUACAUAAGAGAACAGUUCAAACAAAUGAUCUCCUGCUGACCUGCAUUUGGAAAGUAAGAUAUAAAGAUAAAUUUUUACCUUUAGUUCUUGACCAGAAACUACAGGCAGAGAUUCAGAACUCACCUUGGUAAAAAUUCUUACCUUUAUUUGCCAGCUCUUUAUCAGUUGUCCCAGGACCUCAUCAAUAGGUGAGUCAGGUGCUUCAGACAUCCCAUCUUCAUCAUCAGAACUAUAAGGGCAGAAAUAGUGUGAUCUCUUUCCUUCCUAUCAAAAGGGUCACAGCUGACACGGCUAUAAUAAGGCAGGUUAACAAGCGAGAAGCAUAGCACGUUUAUUUAAUCAUCGUUUUAUAUAACUAUGGAAGCCUUCAAAAUGAAGACCCAAAGUACAGGAAAAAACUAUCCAUUUUUAUGCUUACAUUCCAUGAGGAAUGGGCAGCUGUGCAGAAAUGUGAUUAGACAAAAAGGGCAUCAUCUAAUGCUAAUAUUCUGAGUAGGGGAAACCCAGCAAGGCCUUUCUGGUCAGAUACUUCUUGGCCUCUCCAUGCACCAUUCCUUCCUCUUGGGUAUGUGGCAGAGCUCUUUUUGGAAUGGGGGUCUUAGUAUCUACAAUCAAACAAGGCAGGUCAGAGAAUUUCUUUAUGGCCAGUUCAGUUCUUACACACAAAGGUAAGGGAAAGUUCAAGUAAUGUUUAUAGGUUUUUAUGGCUGGCUUUGGAGAGAAAGGGCUCUGGUUUCUAUUACCAGCCUUGGGAAAGAGAGUUUCUACUUUUUAUGGCUAGCCUCGGGAGAUGAGGGGUGACAAACAGGAGGGCAGGAGAAGGCCAGAGAGAAACUUUGCUUCUGAGGCUGCUUCUUAGAUCUUCACUUUGGCGUAUUAUUUUCCGAGCUUCAAUAGGAGUGAAGAAUGAGAUCCAGAAAAGCUGGGGAAGAAGGAGAGAACUGUGCUGGGUAUUGGAAUCAGCAAAUGAAUAGUAUGUCUAUGUCUAUUUCACUUAGGUUUAAGAAAAUAAACUCUUCCAGAUUUUUCUGUAAGAUACUGUUUCCUGACUGAAUAUACAAAUGAGACUUAUCUUCAGUAUGAAGGGUGACUUAUUUUUCAGUUUUCUCCAGAAUACUCCAAGAAUUCUGCUUUUUAUAUUAUAUGUGUUACAGAGAUUUAGGAGAGUAUUCUCUUUUCUGUUCUUUCUUUCUUUUUUUUUUUUUUUUUUGAUGGAGUCUCGCUCUGUCACCCAGGCUGGAGUGCAGUGGCGCCAUCUCAGUUCACUGCAACCUCUGGCUCCAGGGUUCAAGAGAUUCUCCUGUGUCAGCCUCCCAAAUAGCUGGGAUUACAGGCACCCAUCACCACGCCUGGCUAAUUUUUGUAUUUUUAGUAGGGAUGGGGUUUACAAUGUUGGCCAGGCUGGUGUUGAAUUCCUGAACUCAAGUGAUCCACCCACCUCGGCUUCCAAAGUGCUGGGAUUACAAGCAUGAGCCACGGCACCCAGUCCCUUUUUUAAUGUAUAUAUAUAAAGGAAAUAAUAAUCAUAUAUUUAUAAAAUAAGAAAAUAACUGUAAAUAUACAUAUGUGUGUAUAUAUGUACAUAUAUAUAUCAUAAUGUGUGAUAUACAUAUGUGUGUAUAUAUGUACAUAUAUAUAUAUAUAUCACAAUGUGUGGCCUGAGGGAUACAUGAAGAGACUCCUCUGCAAUUUCAGGCUCUUCCUUGCUGCUAACUCAAGAAUUCACACAGACAUCCUGUUGGAACAUCUCAAUGAAAAUAUAUUGCUGAUUACAAAAAUACACCUCAAAUCAUACCAGAAUUGAUACACUUUGAAUGAAUAAACCUCACUAGCUCUCUGGUAACAAUACUAUUCUUUCACACUCAUUAGCUCUUAUGAGACUUCUCUCUUUUGAUACCAAGGCAGAGUUUUUACUAUUAAGUGGAAGAACUGUCAAGAUCAUAAUUCAAAGUGACAAUGAGAAUAUUAUUUUAUUUGUUAAUGUUUGAAGUCUAAUAAUAGGAAUGAUCUGUGAAACUAAAAUUGUACUAUUAAUAGCUGUUUAAUGCACUAUUAAACACGAACUUGUUCUGGAUACUAUUAAGUUCCAGUCAAGAUUGGUCGGUCUGCCUGUUCCCUGGAGUCCCAUACGUGGUAUGUGGAGAGGGUGAUCCUAGAGGCUGGUAUGCACAGUGGUCUAUAGGCAAGGAAUACAUCUCUCUCUAUAUCCUUAUAACUGUCAGUUCCAAAAAAUGCAUGCCCUGAUGGUAGCCAGAAACUGAUUCUCUUUGUAUUAGACCAAGGGUAAGGAACAGGCUUAUGACAGCAUUAGCAUCUUUUCUUGCCAAGAAGUAUAAUUUUUGCAGCAUAAAGAGAAAUGCCCAGAAGUGAUGGGUUUCUGCAUAGAUCAGAAAUCAGCCCUCCAGUCUUGGUGGCUGCCCUUGUCACCUUUGGUUACCAGGUUGUGAUUCCCUGAGAGGUUUUCAGGAGACUGCACAUAAACUACAUUCUGCUUUCUCUUUCCUUUUCAUUAAGUUACUAUUACAUCAUACUCAGCGGAAAUUCAGGAAAUCCUCUCUUGCAGGUAGUUCUGCAAAACCUAGAAAUUUUAUUUCACUUCUGCUUAGCACUUGUGGCAUUCUGAUCUUUAGGGAAGCCAUCAAGCUGAAACCACAACAGAACAGAAAACAGCUCUGUGUGAAUGGGCAGGAAGGUGAAGGGAGUAAAGCCAGAGAGAGAAUGUGCCAGGUGCCAUAAUCAGUCAAGAAACAUCACAUGUCUUCUGCGCAUCAAUCUGCAUGAUUAUUCUCUUGUCUCAG